rnacentral:rRNA from 1 species
GAUCCACCUGGGGAGUACGACCGCAAGGUUGUAACUCAAAGGAAUUGACGUGGGCCCGCACAAGCGGAGGAACAUGUGGUUUAAUUCGAUGAUACGCGAGGAACCUUACCUGGGCUUAAAUGUAGAACGACGGACCGGGAAACUGGUCUUUCUUCGGACGGUCUGCAAGGUGCUGCAUGGCUGUCGUCAGCUCGUGCCGUGAGGUGUCGGGUUAAGUCCCAUGACGAGCGCAACCCUCAUCAUUAGUUGCCAGCGGGUAAUGCCGGGGACUCUAAUGAAACUGCCGGUGUAAACCGAGAGGAAGGUGGGGAUGACGUCAAGUCAGCACGGCCCUUAUGUCCAGGGCUACACACGUGUUACAAUGGUCGGUACAAAGGGCAGCCACCUGGCGACAGGAUGCUAAUCUCGAAAACCGAUCUCAGUUCGGAUCGAAGUCUGCAACUCGACUUCGUGAAGCUGGAUUCGCUAGUAAUCGCGCAUCAGCCAUGGCGCGGUGAAUACGUUCCCGGGCCUUGUACACACCGCCCGUCAAGCCAUGGAAGCUGGGGGUACCUGAAGUCCGUAACCG